AUGGGUUUCUGUGAUCGAAAAAAAAUCAUCUGGCAUGGCUUUCUUUUUACAUACAAAACUAAGUGUGGAGCAGUGUAUAUGUUCAUUGCUUUCUUAUCACAUUGCAUUUGUCGGAGGUGCCGUACUGAUUUGAAGGAAAUGCUUUUAUAUUUCCAAGUUGAUCAACUACACAGGACACAGCUUCUGAUCCUAAAGCCUUUCUUUAAAAGGGGCUGGUCAAUGCAGCUCCAUAUUGUGCUAUCUUGCUAUUGGGCUCUUUUUUGUUACUUAAAAUGGUCAGAUAUCUCUGAUGUUAAAUUCGUGGUUGAUUGCUUAUAUCCAAAAUAA
rnacentral:rRNA from 1 species